UCGCUUUCGCAUCUGUUUUUGUUCGAGUAGCUUUGGCUUGAUUGGGCAACAAAAGGAGGUCUGUGAAAUCCUCCACUGUUUGCUGCUCGGAAAGAUAGUGGGCUAAACAGACUUUUAAAAUUAUACAAAAUUUUUGUUCAUCUUUAAUCAAUUGUAGUGUAAGAUGACACCAAGGAAAUUAAUUAAAAAAGAAAAAGGUUCAGAUGGAGAAGAAAGUUUGCCUGAUAAGAGUCAUUCCACUCGUUUACUUCGGAAACGCGAAUGGGAUUCUGCAAGCAUUAUAAGUCCUGAAAGAGGUCCAGCCCAAAGGAAAGAACUCAGAAGGGAUAACUUGCAUUUGAAGCGUUCACUGACAACUUCUUAUUCUCAAACAGUAAAGAAGAAUUUGUCUAAUACAGAGAAACUUUCAUCUUCUCUGUUGAGGGAGUCAAAAACUGAGGUAAAAACUGAGAAACCAGAGCUUGAAACAGGAGACACUAGUGGCAAGAGCACAAAUACUUCAAAUGGUUUUGAGGAUGAUCCUCUGGUACUUUCCCGACGACAGAAACAAAUUGACUAUGGGAAAAAUACCAUUGCCUAUGAUAACUACAUCAAAACCAUACCUAAAAAUCAGAGAACCAAAGAACACCCCCAAACUCCCAACAAGUACAAAAAGUAUAGUAGGAGAGGCUGGGAUGGAUCAAUCAAAGUGUGGAGGCAAAAGUUGCAUGUUUUUGAUACAGAUGAUAGUAAGGAAAAGGAGUGUGCAACUGUUGGUUCUGUAGAUGAUGCGGAAAUUGAAGGUGACCUGAACUGCCUUCCUUUCGAUUUAAUCGACUCUGAUGUCGAUCUAUAGACCACUUCUUACUUCUAGAAGUGAAACAAUAUUUUAGACCCAAACGAAGACAUGCGCGUAGCAUAUUAAAUUUUUCUGUGUGAUGAUUAAGUCUUUAUAUUUAAAUUCAUCCUAAAUUUUCUUUCAAGUUCAAAGCAGUUCCGCAGCUUAAACAGAGCCUUCAAUUAUCGCGUAGUUUCUCUGAACGAUCUUAACUGUUUGUAACGGCCAAAUAUGUCACUUGUCUGACAGCAAUGCGAUAAUUCUUGAAUUUUCA